UUUCCCUUCUUUGAUUCUUUCUGGUUUUCACUUUUCAGUUUUUCACUCUCUCACUCUCUACUCUCAUCCUCAAUCAUCUUCCUCGAUCAUCUUCCUCAAUCCUCACACUCUCAUCCUGAACGAAGAGUCGAAGACGCACAACCCUCCUCCAUAGCAGCCGCUCUAUAAAUCCGUUGAAUUAUCUUCAUCUGUUUAAGAUCCGUUGAAUUAUCUUCAUCUGUUUAAGAUGGACUCAACAAUUAAAUCAACUCAAAUUGAUGGGGAACAAUCUGCUGAGGCAGAAGUUGAAGUUGUUACACGAGGUAGCAAAGAAAAGGGAAAGAAAAUCGGGCAUGUUUACAAGCCUGGUAAGAAUUUUAAAUGCUAUAGAAAGCUUACUUCUGGUGUGUGGGUGAAUUUUACCAUUUUAGAACCUGACCUUGAUGGUAAUUUGUGGUGUAAGUGUAAAAAAUGUGGCCAAAUAUAUAGUGCUGAUAGCAAGUAUGGUACUGGUAAUUUACUUCGACAUUCAAAUAGCUGUAAGAAGAAAAAUAGUAGAGAUGUUGGUCAAAUGUUGUUGCAAUCUAGUUCUGAUGGUCUUAAAACUAGAAAUCCUACCUUUAAUACUGAUGGUUUUCGUGAUUUGCUUGUUGUUGCUAUUGUUAAGCAUGGGUUGCCUUUUCAAUUUGCUGAAUAUGAAGGGAUUAGGAAUUUAUUUUAUUACUUGCAACCUGAUGUGAAACUGUUUUCUAGAAACACCGCUAAAAAUGAUAUAAUUAAACUUUAUAAUAUGGAGAAAGUAAGACUUGUUGCUGCCUUACAUGAAGUUUCUGGGAGAAUUUCUUUAACAUCUGAUUGUUGGUCAUCUCUUACCACUGAUGGCUAUAUAUCACUCACUGCACACUAUGUUGAUAAUUCUUGGACUUUACAAAAAAGGAUUUUGAACUUCUCUUUCAUUCCACCACCCUAUACUGGUGUUGCUAUGUCCGAAAAAAUUUACACACUAUUAAAGGAUUGGGGAAUUGAGAAAAAAAUAAUGUCAAUGACUUUGGAUAAUGCUUCUGCGAAUGAUGUGUUUGUUGAUUGUUUGAAAGGAAAUCUUGAUUUGUAGUGUGAUGGGGUAUAUUUUCACAUUCGUUGUUGCUGUCAUAUUCUGAAUUUGGUAGUCUAAGAGGGACUUAAGGAGGUUGAUGAUGCUAUUUGUAAGGUUAGAGAAACUGUGAAAUAUUGCAAGGGUUUACAGGCUAGAAAACAAAGGUUUUUUUAUUGUGUUGCUUAUGUUUCAUUGAGUUCAGCUUAGGGGUUGAGGCAAGAUGAGCCAACUCGAUGGAAUUCAACUUUUAUGAUGUUAGAGAAUGCUAUGUUUUAUAGAAAGGCUUUUGUUCAUCUUUAAAAAACUGAUACUCACGAUGUGCAUUGUCCAACAAAUGAUGAGUGGUCUAGGCUUGAGAAAAUUUUCAAGUUUUUGAAAGUUUUUUAUGAUGUUACUUGUGCCUUUUCUGGAUCAAAGUAUCCUACUGCGAAUCUUUACUUUCCUAAUGUAUGUUAUGAAGGUAAGAUUGUUGUUGAAAGAUGAAAUGGAAAAUGUUGAUUCUUUUGUUAGAAAGAUGGCAUUGAGAAUGUGGGGUAAGUUUGAGAAAUAUUGGUCUGAUUUCUCUCCCAUAAUGGCUAUUGCUGCAAUUAUGGAUCCUCGAUUCAAAUUUCAGUUUGUGAGUUUUUCAUAUGCCAAAGUAUAUGGUUCAAAUGCCUCUUUUGAGGUGUCAAGUUUGAAAGAAAAGCUAUUUGAAAUGUUUGAUGCAUAUGUAAGUUCUUCAACUCGUUCCAAUGGUGGGCCUUCCACCACUUCUAAUCAUAAUCAAGGUGUGAAUGUUGCUACUGUUGAUGGUUUCAUGGAGGACUUUGAUGAUUCUUCUGGAGUGGAAUUUGCUAGUACACCAAAAUCUGAACUUGAAUUGUACUUGGAGGAGCCUUUAAUUCCUUGUGUCAAUGAGUUAGACAUCCUUGAUUAUUGGAAGUCUUGUCAAUUACGCUUCCCCGUUCUUUCUCUUAUGGCUAGAGACCUCCUAUGUAAGCCUACUUCAACUGUUGCGUCUGAAUCUGCAUUUAGUAUUGGUGGAAGGGUUUUAGACCCUGUUAGGAGCUCUUUAAAGCCAUCUGUUGUGGAAGCUUUGAUAUGUCUAAGAGAUUGAUUGUAUGGACAACAAGCUGAUGAUGUUGUUGGGGUGGAUGAUAUAUGUGACAACAUCAUGAAUUUGAAGAUUGAUAUUGAUAACUCUUCAUGUCCAAGCACUUUAGCAAGUCCACUAUCGGCUAGUGGAAGUGGGAGCACUCCUUGCUCAACUUUCAAACCUAUUGUUAAUGUUCUUGAUUAGUUGCAAGAGGAGCUGCGAAGGUGGAUUGAGUUGGUGACCUUUAACUUCCGGCCAAGCAGCCAACAAGUUCCUUUUAUUUGUCCAGCAACUCAGCAAGUUUGCCCAGGCAGCAACUCAGCAAGUUUUCCAAGCAACUUGCUCUAUGUGGAACAUUCUGUUUUUUUUUUAACAAUGAAGUGAUGUAAUUUUUGAACAAUUAAAGUAUCAAACUUAGGUGGUCUGUAAUUUCAAACUUAGCUACAGGCCUACAGCUGAUUAGCUCUAUUUUCACACUGUGUAAAGUGUAAACUCCAGUAACUUAGCAGCAAAUCAUGUCACAAUUCACUGAAUUCAGAAUUUUAAAUUAAGUCAUUAAACACUAAA